rnacentral:rRNA from 1 species
AUCGGUAUUCCUCCACAUCUCUACGCAUUUCACUGCUACACGUGGAAUUCUACCUCCCUCUGACACACUCUAGCCUGACAGUUUCCAACGCAGUUCCCAGGUUGAGCCCGGGGCUUUCACAUCAGACUUGUCAAACCGCCUGCGCACGCUUUACGCCCAGUAAUUCCGAUUAACGCUCGCACCCUACGUAUUACCACGGCUGCUGGCACGUAGUUAGCCGGUGCUUCUUAUCAAGGUACCGUCAGCCUCAGCCAGUGUUAUUGGCUAAGUUUUCUUCCCUUGCGAAAGAGCUUUACAACCCGAAGGCCUUCUUCACUCACGCGGCAUGGCUGGAUCAGGGUUGCCCCCAUUGUCCAAAAUUCCCCACUGCUGCCUCCCGUAGGAGUCUGGGCCGUGUCUCAGUCCCAGUGUGGCUGAUCAUCCUCUCAGACCAGCUACAGAUCGUCGCCUUGGUAGGCCUUUACCCCACCAACUAGCUAAUCUGACAUCGGCCGCUCCAUUAACGCGAGGUCCGAAGAUCCCCCGCUUUCCCCCUCAGGGCGUAUGCGGUAUUAGCACAGCUUUCGCUGCGUUAUCCCCCAUUAAUGGACACGUUCCGAUGCAUUACUCACCCGUUCGCCACUCGCCAUCAACCUAGCAAGCUAGGUCAUGCUGCCGUUCGACUUGCAUGUGUAAAGCAUGCCGCCAGCGUUCAAUCUGAGCCAGGAUCAAACUC